rnacentral:lncRNA from 1 species
CAGAAUUCCAGUGGAUCCACAAUGGGUGGGAGGAAGUCUAACAAGACUCAAAGCCAAGUACAAGGUACAGAGAGGCACCUCUGUGCCCAAGGCUGGAGCUCACCUUGGAGAAGAGAGCCAUGGAAAUGCUGGGCUUGGUGACAACAGCAAGGACAACAUCAGCAUCAAGUAGCAAAGAUGCACCUGUUUCCCAGCAGGGAACCAGCUUUGCUCCUCACGGGCAAUUAGCAAGGUUUGACUUAAUUUAAAGCCUACACAACCACUGAUCUCUGAGAAUAUGACUGAUGUUAUUUUCUGUACUGAGAGUAACAGUAAAACAACAAUAAUGACAAUAACAAGCACUUCACUCCUCUCCAUCUUUUAAGGUAGUUGAGUAAUUAGUAACUCAACAAUUAGUCAUCACAGCAAAACUAUGAAGCAUGUAAAAGUAUUCUCACCAUCAUCUUAUUUCAGUUUUUUACUUAUGAGCUUUAAGAAUUCAGGAUCCUUUGUUGAAUUUAUUAGUCCUCCCAACAUAUAAGACAAUGAAUAUUAGAGUCAAAUUAUGAUACAUACCCCAAUAAUUCGACUAUACUCUAAAAUUAAUACACAUCACCAUCUCCAGGACUACCAAAAAUGCAAAUGCUGGCUGGAUCUCAUUUUUUUAAAUUAUAACAAUUAAAAGGUUAUUAAAUCACCAGUGUUAAAAAGUCAGCAGCAAUAAACCUUUAGGUUUUCACAAGAUGCACACAGAGGUCUCCCUUGGAGAUUUAGUUUUCCAACUCAUAAGGCUGAAGGUCCACUCCCAGGAGGAAGAAAAAACAGGAAGCUUCUCCCC